rnacentral:lncRNA from 1 species
GGGCACAAUACUUUUGAUCUCAGUUUCUUUAUCCUUGCGGGGUAAACCCGGGUUUUAUUUGCUUGUCUGUCUGGGGCUGACCUUAAGAAGGGACGUAGCGGGAAUCUUGCCCACGCUAGGUGGCUCGGGACGAGGGCCUGGAGUCGCGCCCCUGCCUACCCACUACUCCGUGUUCCCUGCCCUUGCGGUGGAGCGUUGACUUUCGCGGGGCACAGGGACACCUCUGGGCCGAGCCGGGACCACCCUGUGCGCAGAAUACAGAAGGUCGAUGCGUCGCAGCAGAGUGAAUUGCACAUUACAGGAGACGSGACAGCGGUUCCCAGCUCCUCACCCUCCAGCCUCCGCAAGUCCCCGGGAAGACUGCGGUGACACUUCCGGUGUACUGUCCCGGCCUGGAGGCCCUCCCCGAGCUCUCACUUGGCUCUUCCUGGGUAAUAGCCCUUACUCAGCCGAUCACAGGCCGCGGUGCAGAUUCGUCAUUUACCGGUCUAUGCUUAUUCCGGUUAUUUGGAUACUCGGGAAAUAGCACAGAAUCSAACCCAGUGCCUCACACAUGCCAGGCAAGUGCGCUACUGCUGAGCCACAGCCCYGCCCUUCAAGUGGCUUUAGGUCUGGAAACUGGGUGGCAGGCAUGACUCCAGUCAGGCUUUUGGCCAUCAGUUCGAUGACCACUUCACUGCAGUCCUUUGAUGACACUGGCAUGUUCCAGCUUUGGACGACGUGCUGUGGAUGUGGACUAGCUCUAGCCUGGACAACCCGUGAACCACUCCAUUCUCCACCCCUUCUUGGACAUGUUUGACCCUGAGCCUUGGAACAGAAGGGGGCUCCCUUUCCAAGGCCGUCCUUCCUUGAGAGAUCCCCCUCCAUCUGUGGCACCCUUUAGAGUUCUCUUUACUUCUUCAUAGUUGCCUCCCAUCAGCUUAACAAAUCUUUAUGUUAUACCUCCCUCAUUGUGUGGUUUGUCUCCUGAAUGGACCUAGACUGAUAUGAGAUUAAACAUUAAAUUCAGAAUUUUUGAUAAGUUCAUCUGUAUUCAUAAACCAAGCCUUAUACACAGUUCUGUUGUGGUCAACACGUACCACUGUGGAAACAUUCGAAUCUCGCUCAACAUUACAGAAUUCAUACUGGAGAAAAACUCUGUGAAUGUAAAAUAUGAAAAGGCCUCA